rnacentral:rRNA from 1 species
CUUGGUCAUUUAGAGGAAGUAAAAGUCGUAACAAGGUUUCCGUAGGUGAACCUGCGGAAGGAUCAUUAUUGAAUACGAUUGGUACUGAUGCUGGCUCUUCACUGGGCAUGUGCUCGUCCAUCUAUUUAUCUUCUCUUGUGCACAUCUUGUAGUCUUGAAUGAAACCUCUCGCAGUCAAUGCGGUUUGGGAGACUGGGUGUAAAAGCCCUUUUCCUGCUUCUUCAAGGCUAUGUUUUCAUAUACACUAUAAAGUUACAGAAUGUCUUUUAACGAUUGUGCUUGUCACAGUCAUUAAACCUAUACAACUUUCAGCAACGGAUCUCUUGGCUCUCCUAUCGAUGAAGAACGCAGCGAAAUGCGAUAAGUAAUGUGAAUUGCAGAAUUCAGUGAAUCAUCGAAUCUUUGAACGCACCUUGCGCCCUUUGGUAUUCCGAAGGGCAUGCCUGUUUGAGUGUCAUUAAAUUAUCAACCUUGCUCGCUUUUACCGGCUUGAGUGAGGCUUGGAUGUGAGGGCUUUGCUGGCUUCCUUCAAUGGAUGGUCUGCUCCCUUUAAAUGCAUUAGUGGGAUCCUUUGUGGACCGUCACUUGGUGUGAUAAUUAUCUAUGCCAUAUGACUUUGAAGCAAGCUUAUAGGAAUCCGCUCAUAACCGUCUUUGGACAAUUUUGACAUUUUGACCUCAAAUCAGGUAGGACUACCCGCUGAACUUAAGCAUAUCAAUAAGCGGAGGAAAAGAAACUAACAAGGAUUCCCCUAGUAACUGCGAGUGAAGCGGGAAAAGCUCAAAUUUAAAAUCUGGCGGUUCUUGUAGCCGUCCGAGUUGUAAUUUAGAGAAGUGUUAUCCGCGCUGGACCGUGUACAAGUCUCCUGGAAUGGAGCGUCAUAGAGGGUGAGAAUCCCGUCUUUGACACGGACUGCCAGGGCAUUGUGAUGCGCUCUCAAAGAGUCGAGUUGUUUGGGAAUGCAGCUCAAAAUGGGUGGUAAAUUCCAUCUAAAGCUAAAUAUUGGGGAGAGACCGAUAGCGAACAAGUACCGUGAGGGAAAGAUGAAAAGAACUUUGGAAAGAGAGUUAAACAGUACGUGAAAUUGCUGAAAGGGAAACGCUUGAAGU